GGAUCCGGUGUUGCUCUGAGCUGUGGUGUAGGUUACAGGCACAGCUCAGACCUGGCACUGCUGUGGCUGUGGUUGUAGGCUGGCAGCUGUAGCUCUGAUUUGACCCCUAGCCUGGGAACUUCCAUAUGCUGCUGGUGUGGCCCUAAAAAGUAAAAAAUAAAGACCCUACGUAGCCAGAUUAGGUAGAGGUUCUUUUUCUUGGAAUAUAUAUAUCUCAGAGUCAAACAGGAUAUGAAGGAUGAGAGAGGAAGGAGACUGGCCUUUGGUUACCCAGUUUGUAAAUGGAUGUCAAUACCUAGAUGUCUGCCUUCAACAUGGUGAUUCAAAACAAUAGUUUAUUUAGUUAUUUACUGAGGUAUAGUUAACUUAAAAUGUUAUAUUAUUCUGGGCAUAUAAUACACUGACUUGAUAUUCUUUUAGAUUAUAUUCCAUUUAACGUCAGUAUUAAUUACAGGCUAUAUUCCCUGUGCUGUACAUUAUAACCUUUCAUCUUAUUAAUUUUAUACCUGGUAGUCUGUACUGCUUAAUGCCCCAUGCCUAUGUUAUCCUUCCUCAAACCCCUCUCCCCACUGGUAACUUGUUUGUUCCUGUAACCAUGAGUCUGUUUCUGUUUUGUUAUAAUCAGGGUAUGGAAGCAACCUAAGUGUCCAUUAACAGAUGAAUGAAUAAAGAAGAUGUGCAGAGAAGUGUUCAAGGAAUGUUUACAGCUCAGGAGGCCCCGCAGGGGAUUGCCUGAAGGACAUGAAGUCCAUUCAUCUCUCCAGAUAGUUUGGAUUAUAUUUCAAGAUCAAGGUAAACCAUCCAAAUUAAAUAGUUGACCCUUAUUGUUCUGGCCCCCCUUUUACUGAAUUGUAUUUUGGCCUUGGGCCUCAGCUUCCAAGGAGGGACCAAAGGACAAACAGCGUUAGGCCUGUCACAUUGUUAUCACCAUGAGGGAUGUUGAGAAAGAGCGGCCUCUAAUUCAUUCAUGUUCCACUCAUGAGGGCACAGAGAGCCAUUUCCUUAAAACCUAAAUGCC
rnacentral:lncRNA from 1 species